rnacentral:lncRNA from 1 species
CCAGAAUACCACUUGGGUCGCUCGAGGAGGAAGAGUGUCCCAGGGGGGAAGCAGUACAGCAUGGAGGGUGCCCCUGCUGCGCCCUUCCGGCCCUCGCAAGGCUUCCUGAGCCGACGGCUAAAAAGCUCCAUCAAACGAACGAAGUCACAACCCAAACUUGACCGGACCAGCAGCUUUCGCCAGAUCCUGCCUCGCUUCCGAAGUGCUGACCA